rnacentral:rRNA from 1 species
GGGGGAAAAUUUAAUAAUCAGAAACUAAUAAAAAAAAAUUUAUCAUUAAAAAUAUAUAAUGGGGGUUAAAGUAUUUUUAAUAGAAAAAAUUUAUAAAUUUAUAGUUAAAUAGUAUUGUAAAAGAAAAUUUAAAUAGUUAAAAUAUAAUUUAAGAAAAAGUAAAUUUUAUUUGUUGUAUCUUGUGUAUCAGAGUUUAUUAAAUAAAAAUUUUUAAAUAAAAAAUUCUCGAAUUUAAAAGAGUUAAUUAAUUAUGAAAGUUAAUGUUGAAUAAUUAUUUUUAAUAAUUAAUUAGAAAUGAAAUGUUAAUCGUUUUUAAAUAUAUCUAGUUUUUUUAGAAAAAAAUUUAAUUUUAAAUGAAAAUAAUUUUAUAAUUAAUUAAUUAAUUAUGAAAAUUUAAAAUUUAGUAUUUUAGGGGAUAAGCUUUAAUUUAAAUUAUUAUAAUUAAUUUUUUUAAAAAUUAAAAUUUUUAAUAUUUAUAUUGUUUAUAAAUUAUAAUUUAUUAUAAAAAAUUUUAAUUAGAUUAAAAUUUAAAUUUAUAAAUUUAAAUUUUUAUAAAAAAAUUAUUUUUAAUAGUGAAAAAUAAGAAAUAAUGAUAAAAUUAGUAUAAUUUUUUUUUUAAAAAAAGUAAAAUUAUUGAGAAUUAAAUUAAAGGAAUUCGGCAAAAAUUUAUAUUCACUUGUUUAUCAAAAACAUGUCUUUUUGAUUAAUAAUUUAAAGUCUAAUCUGCCCACUGAUAUUUAUAUAUUAAAGGGCUGCAGUAUAUUGACUGUACAAAGGUAGCAUAAUCAUUAGUCUUUUAAUUGAAGACUUGUAUGAAAGAUUUGAUGAAAUAUAAACUGUCUCUACAUUAUUUAUAGAAAUUAAUAUUUUAGUUAAAAAGCUAAAAUUAAAUUAAAAGACGAGAAGACCCUAUAGAGUUUUAUAAUUGGGUUUAAUAUAAUAAAAUAUAUAAUUAAUUAUUGUAAUAAAAUUAAUUAUUUCAUUGGGGUGAUGAAAAAAUUUAAUAAACUUUUUUUUUUAUUUAACAUAUAUAAGUGAAUAAAUGAUCCAUAAUUUAUGAUUAUAAGAAAAAAUUACCUUAGGGAUAACAGCGUAAUAUUUUUUUUUAGUUCAAAUAAAAAAAAAAGUUUGCGACCUCGAUGUUGGAUUAAGAUAAAAUUUAAAUGCAAAAGUUUAAAGUUUUGAUCUGUUCGAUCAUUAAAAUCUUACAUGAUCUGAGUUCAAACCGGUGUAAGCCAGGUUGGUUUCUAUCUUUAAUAAAAUACAAUAUUUUAGUACGAAAGGAUCAAAUAUAGGAAAUAAUUUUAAUUGUUAUGAAUAUUAUUAAUAUGUUUUA